UACGUAGGGUGCAAGCGUUGUCCGGAAUUAUUGGGCGUAAAGAGCACGUAGGCGGCAAGGUAUGUCGGGUGUGAAAUCCCUCGGCCUAACCGAGGAAUUGCGCCCGAAACUACCUUGCUUGAGGAUGGAAGGGGAGCGUGGAAUUCCUGGUGGAGCGGUGAAAUGCGUUGAUAUCAGGAGGAACACCGGCGGCGAAGGCGACGCUCUGGUCCAUUACUGACGCUGAGGUGCGAAAGCCAGGGGAGCAAACGGG
rnacentral:rRNA from 1 species